UUAAUAAUAUUCUUAUUAAAAAUAUAAUUAUUUUAAUAUUUGGUCCUUUCGUACUAAAAUAUUAUAAUUUUUUAAAGAUAGAAACCAACCUGGCUUACGCCGGUUUGAACUCAGAUCAUGUAAGAAUUUAAAAGUCGAACAGACUUAAAAUUUGAACGGCUACACCCAAAAUUAUAUCUUAAUCCAACAUCGAGGUCGCAAUCUUUUUUAUCGAUAUGAACUCUCCAAAAAAAUUACGCUGUUAUCCCUAAAGUAACUUAAAUUUUUAAUCAUUAUUAAUGGAUCAAUUAUUCAUAAAUCAAUGGUUUUAAAAAUUAAAAGUUUUUUAAAUUUUAAUAUCACCCCAAUAAAAUAUUUUAAUUUAUUAUAAUAAAAAUAAUCUUUAUAAUUAAAAUAAACAAAAUAUAAAGAUUUAUAGGGUCUUCUCGUCUUUUAAAUUUAUUUUAGCUUUUUGACUAAAAAAUAAAAUUCUAUAAAAAAUUUAAAUGAAAC
rnacentral:rRNA from 1 species